GUUAUAGGAAAGGCAUGAGAUCAGUCCAUGAUAGCUUUUUUACAUGAAAAAUCGGUUAUUUGCCACUUCCGAUAUUGGGCUUCGCAAAAUUGCCACUCUCAAAAUUGGCUUGGUAAAAAUGCCAUCUAGCUCCGUUGCACUUCGAUUACCAUGCCAUUUUUUCUUUUUCCAUUACGUUUUCCUUUUCCAUUUCAAUUUUCUGUCACCUGAAAGGACCAAAGUACCCUUACCUCUUUCUACCUUAUCCAAUGUUUUUGUGGUUAUCCGAUUGCUCUGUGGCUAGCUUGUUCUGGUCGUCAUGGUUGCUCGCCGGCGUACGUCGCUGAUGCCUGCGCGAGGUACCCUAACUCGCCGCCCUAGCUUCCCACGCCUGAGCGAGUAACUCCAGGUCGCCGCCGGUGCUCGCCCAUGGCUGCGUGCACCGCUGCAACUCGCCCUGGUCACUGCAGCUCUCCGCCGGCGCUCGUCCGUGUCUGCACGGGCCGGCGCAGCUCGCGCUCGCGUCGCGGAUGCUUGCGCUCCGUGGGUGCUCGCCCUCGCCUUGCGGAUGCUUGCGCGUGCCAGCACAGCUCACUGCGGGUGCUCGCCCAGGCCUGCGCGCGACAGCACAGCUCGCCCUCCCCUGCGUACGUUGGCGCAGCUCGCUCCGCGACAUGCUGGAGAAGUGGGUAGCGCUGAACAUCAACACCAGUGGCGUGAUGGCAGCAGCAGCUGGAGGAGGAGAUGGAUGCGUGUGAAGUUCUGAAGAUGUUGAAUGCAAGCAACCUGGAGUUCUAGCGACGCAUUAUACAAGGAGCUAUGGCAUGCUUGGGCUAGGCCGUUGAUCACAGUGCCUCGCCCAGGUGAAAGGAUUUACAACUUUCCGCAUGUUUAUAUGGAACAGGAUUAUUCUUGUCUUUUGUGAAAAUUAAAUGGACCCUGGGAUAGCAGCCAGCCAUGGUCGAAUGGCUCAUCGACAAUGUCACGUGGAAUGCGACAAAAUUGGACGAACUGAAUUUAACUUGCCACUUGCUACCCCUACUGCAACAUGUGAACGAAGGUAUGAACCAUGUGUAUAAUGCUAUUUUGUCGGUGGUUAAAAAUUUGCAUAAAUUUCCAUGUUGAUUAUAUUGUUUCUCAAUUCAGUCAAAGAAAAUUUAGAUGAAAUCAACAAACAUACUGCCACCUUGAGUACUGAGCAACCAAAAAUACUAAGAUUGUAUGCGAGCACCUGAUGGCUUGCAGCAGAUGGUGUGUGUGUGUGGGUGGGGUGGGGGGGGGGGGGAGGGGGGGGAUUAACAGUAAAUUCAAAAAAAACAAAAAAAAGGGAAAUUUUUGUGUGAUAAACUUUAGCAAAUGUUUUCAGAGCCAGCAAAAUUUCACUUUGGAAUGACAUUCGUGAAAUUUGCAGUAAAAAAACAAAAUUAGCACUUCAAAAUGCUUUCGAAAAUGGCAUUUUUGGUGCAUCGAUUUUGUUCUUUUUUGCCACCACUUCCACAAAUGUGACUUCAUGAAUAAGUUUUGUAAGCACUCACAAAGUUUGUCAAUGUUUCACACUAAAAAAAAUCUGAUUUUUUAAAAAAAAAUUGAUUUUUUUUUACGAUUUUAGUGUUCAUGCAGGCUCAUUUGAGCUCGAGCCGAGAAUAGCUGCGUCGGGGGGUGAUACGUCUCCAAUGUAUCUAUAAUUUUGAUUGUUCCGUGUUGUUAUAUUAUCAUUCUUGGAUGUUUUACAUUCAUUUUAUAGCAACUUUAUAUUAUUUUUUGGGACUAACAUAUUGACAU